UACGUAGGGACCAAGCGUUGUUCGGAUUUACUGGGCGUAAAGGGCGCGUAGGCGGCGCGGUAAGUCACUUGUGAAAUCUCUGAGCUUAACUCAGAACGGCCAAGUGAUACUGCGCGGCUAGAGUGCAGAAGGGGCAACUGGAAUUCUCGGUGUAGCGGUGAAAUGCGUAGAUAUCGGGAAGAACACCAGUGGCGAAAGCGCUCUACUGGGCCAUAACUGACACUGAGGGACGAAAGCUAGGGGAGGCGAACAGGA
rnacentral:rRNA from 1 species